rnacentral:rRNA from 1 species
CCUACGGGAGGCAGCAGUAGGGAAUCUUUCACAAUGGGCGAAAGCCUGAUGGAGCAACGCCGCGUGCAGGAUGAAGGCCUUCGGGUUGUAAACUGCUUUUAUAAGCGAGAAAUAUGAUGGUAACUUAUGAAUAAGGAUCGGCUAACUACGUGCCAGCAGCCGCGGUCAUACGUAGGAUCCGAGCAUUAUCCGGAGUGACUGGGUGUAAAGAGUUGCGUAGGUGGCAUAAUAAGUAGCUAGUGAAAUCUGGUGGCCCAAACAUUCAGACUAUUAGCUAAACUGUUAAGCUCGAGACCGUUAGGGGUAACUGGAAUGUCUAGUGUAGGGGUGAAAUCCGUAGAUAUUAGAAGGAACACCAAUAGCGUAGGCAGGUUGCUGGGACGGUUCUGACACUAAGGCACGAAAGCGUAGGGAGCAAACGGGAUUAGAUACCCCUGUAGUC